rnacentral:sRNA from 1 species
CUUUAACACAGGCAAAAACACACGUGUGCCGACACAGUUGCCGGGGUGCUCUCAGUCAUUGACUGCAGGGUCGGGAGCUGGGGUACACGGAGGCUAAAC